CAAUACGCACAAGAAGCCAUCUCCACUGAUUGGCCUCUCCGAAAAAUCUGGGUUACUAUUCAUUUUAAGUGAUUAUUAGUAAAGGUCAUGUAACUUCUCCAUCCUAACUCAUUUUCUUCUGAAACUUGACGAGUGCUUAUAUAAUUAAAUUACACACAAAAACAUCAUCAAUAUAGAGUUUAGCUAUACAGUCAAAUUUUCAGUCCUCACAGUUUCUUUUAUUUACGAUUGUUUUCCUGGAUUAUCCCUUCAAAUAUA
rnacentral:lncRNA from 1 species